AAUGAACGCUGGCGGCAUGCCUAACACAUGCAAGUCGAGCGAACGCACGGGAAGCUUUCUCCCCUGAGGUUAGCGGCGGACGGGCGAGUAACACGUGGAUAACCUACCUAUAAGACUGGGGUAAUUUCGGGAAACAGGAGCUACUACCGCAUAAUAUUUUGAACCGCAUGGUUCAAGAGUUAAAGACGCUCUUGCUGUCACUAAGAGCUGAAUCCGUGUUGCAUUAGCUAGUUGGUAAGGUAACGGCUUACCAAGGCAACGAUGCGUAGCCGACCUGAGAGGGUGAUCAGCCACACUGGAACUGAGACACGGUCCAGACUCCUACGGGAGGCAGCAGUAGGGAAUCUUCCGCAAUGGGCGAAAGCCUGACCGAGCAACACCGCGUGAGUGAUGAAGGCCUUCGGAUCGUAAAGCUCUGUUGUUAGGAAAGAACAGAAGCGUGUUUAACCGUGACCAUAUUGACGGUACCCAAUGAAUAAGCCCCGGCUAACUACGUG
rnacentral:rRNA from 1 species